CUUGCUUCGUCAUUACUUUUGACGACACACCUUGGUUGAACUUUAUUGCUUAACCAUUUAUCAGGCAAGCACGUAUACAGGUAGGCCCCACAACGUGGGUAAGUGUUCAGGGUUGUUGUUGGACCCCUACUAGCUCCAGGGAGCGGCUCCAUGGACCGGCGGGACCGAGAUAACCGUUGUGAAGAAGUCAGAGUCCUGCAAGUAUCUCCUGGCCGUCCUCCUGGCCCUCGUCAUCGCCGUCGUCCUGGCAGGAGGCGCGGCCCUUGUGUGGUACUUCCUGGAUUAUAGGGUGUGGGUGCUGGAGCCGAGGGUGCAGCAGCAGUACACUGCCUACUUCUCCAUCCUAAACAGGGAGCUGACUAAUGAUCUGACCUCUGACACCAGCCCAGAGUUCAGGAGCCAGGCCAGACAUGUCCAGGACCUGGUGGAGAAAAUAAUCACAGAUUCAAGUCUCUCUCGGUACCUCAACUCCACAGCUGUGUUCGCUUUCGGGUAUUGGAAGCGAUGUUUCAUGAUGUAUCGAAAGAAAGAAUUAUAAAGGACUGAAAUGAA